CUUCUCUUCGGAGCACGGAGUGACAGGUGGUGCAUGGUUGUCGUCAGCUCGUGUCGUGAGAUGUUGGGUUAAGUCCCGCAACGAGCGCAACCCUUAUCCUUAGUAGCCAGCGGUUCGGCCGGGCACUCUAGGGAGACUGCCAGGGAUAACCUGGAGGAAGGGGGGGAUGACGUCAAAUCAUCAUGCCCCUUAUGACUUGGGCUACACACGUGCUACAAUGGCGUAAACAAAGGGAAGCAAACCUGUGAGGGCGAGCAAAUCUCAAAAAUAACGUCUCAGUUCGGAUUGUAGUCUGCAACCCGACUACACGAAGCUGGAAUCGCUAGUAAUCGCAAAUCAAAAUGCUGCGGUGAAUACGUUCCCGGGUCUUGUACAC
rnacentral:rRNA from 1 species